rnacentral:rRNA from 1 species
AGAGACAGCAGUCGCCGCGGUAAUACGGAGGGUGUAAGCGUUGUCCGGAAUUAUUGGGCGUAAAGCGCGCGCAGGCGGAUCAGUCAGUCUGUCUUAAAAGUUCGGGGCUUAACCCCGUGAUGGGAUGGAAACUGCUGAUCUAGAGUAUCGGGGAGGAAAGUGGAAUACCUAGCGUAGCGGUGAAAUGCGUAGAUAUUAGGAAGAACACCAGUGGCAAAGGCGACUUUCUGGACGAAAACUGACGCUGAGGCGCGAAAGCCAGGGGAGCGAACGGGAUUAGAUACCCCGGUAGUCCCUGUCUCUUAUACA